UUCUCCAAUCCCCCCCAAAAAGAUAAUCACUCAGCGUCUGAAGAGGGCUCGGGUUCCGACUCAGGGAGCCAGUCAGACAGCGAGCAAGGCAGUGAUCAUGGAAGUGAAACCAACAGCAGCUCCGAGUCUUCGGGAAGUCAAUCCGAAUCAGAGAGCGGGUCCACAGCAUCCAAGUCUCGGCAGACCCCUCCGGAAGCUAAGGAGAAACCAGCAUCCAAGAAAGAAAGGAUAGCUGAUGUCAAAAAAAUGUGGGAAGAGUAUCCCGAUGUUUAUGGGGUGAGACGAUCCAACCGUAGCAGACAGGAGCCUUCGCGUUUUACUAUAAAUGACGAGGUAAGGGUUGAGGAAGCCCAUAAAGAGCAAAAUGCUAUUGCUACUUCCACUAUUACUACUAUUGUAUCGUUGUUUCAUUUCAGAGCAGUGACCAAAUCCAUCCCAAAAAGGAGCAGCAAACCGCAACGGCCGAAGAGGCGGAGGAAAACCGAAUCAUCAGAGGAAGAGGAGGAGGAGGAGGAGGAUGAGACUCCCAAAAGGCAAACUAAGCGCCGAGCAGCCAAAAAUGUCAGUUACAAGGAAGACGAUGACUUUGAGACCGAUUCAGACGACUUGAUUGAGAUGACAGGUGAAGGGGCGGAGGAGCAGCAAAAUAACAGCGAAACCAUUGAGAAAGUGCUGGAGAGGAGAAUAGGCAGGAAAGGAGCCACUGGGGCCUCCACCACUGUCUACUCAAUGGAAGCCAACGGUGAUCCCUGUGCCGAUUUUGAUCCAGAAAAGGAGGAAGGGGAAGUGCAGUACUUGGUUAAAUGGAAAGGUUGGUCAUACAUCCACAGCACAUGGGAAAGUGAGGACUCCUUGCAGCAGCAGAAAGUGAAAGGCAUUAAGAAGCUGGAGAACUUCAAGAAGAAAGAAGAAGACAUCAACAGUUGGUUGGAAAAGGUCACCCCAGAAGACGUAGAGUAUUUCAACUGCCAACAGGAACUGGCAGCUGAGUUGAACAAACAGUACCAGAUUGUGGAAAGAGUGAUUGCCAGAUCCACUUCAGGGUUGACAGACUUUCACAACCGCAAGUCCUCCUCUAAUGAGCCAGAGUACCUUUGCAAGUGGAUGGGACUUCCCUACGCAGAAUGUAGCUGGGAAGAUGAAGCUCUGAUCAGCAAAAAAUUCCAGUACUGUAUUGAUAGCUUCAACAAUAGGAACAACUCCAAAGCCAUGCCUACUCGGGACUGCAAGGUGCUGAAGCAAAGGCCUCGUUUUGUGGCCUUGAAGAACCAACCUUCCUACAUUGGUGGGGAGAAUCUGGAACUCCGCGACUAUCAGCUGGAGGGCUUGAAUUGGUUGGCUCAUUCUUGGUGCAAGAACAACAGUGUCAUCCUGGCGGACGAGAUGGGCUUGGGGAAGACCAUCCAGACCAUUUCUUUCCUCUGCUACCUCUUCUAUCAGCACCAGCUCUAUGGCCCCUUUCUGAUUGUGGUGCCUUUGUCAACCCUAACCUCAUGGCAGAGGGAGUUUGAGAUCUGGGCCCCUGAGGUCAACGUGGUUGUGUACAUUGGAGAUCAGCUGAGCAGGAAUAUCCGUGAGUAUGAGUGGGUCCAUUCUCAGACCAAACGGUUGAAGUUCAACGUGCUGAUUACAACCUAUGAGAUCCUCCUGAAAGACAAGGCCGUUUUGGGAAGCAUCAACUGGGCCUUCCUAGGAGUGGAUGAAGCCCACCGCUUGAAGAAUGACGAUUCUUUGCUCUACAAGACACUGAUCGACUUCAAGUCCAACCACCGCCUGCUCAUCACUGGGACACCCCUUCAGAAUUCCCUGAAGGAACUGUGGUCCCUGCUGCAAUUCAUCAUGCCAGAGAAGUUCGAAUCCUGGGAAGACUUUGAAGAGGACCAUGGCAAAGGACGAGAGAACGGGUACCAGAGCCUGCAUAAGGUCCUGGAGCCCUUUCUCCUGCGCAGGGUGAAGAAGGACGUGGAAAAAUCCCUCCCAGCCAAAGUAGAGCAGAUCCUGAGGGUGGAGAUGUCUGCCCUCCAGAAGCAGUAUUACAAAUGGAUUUUAACAAGGAAUUACAAAGCCCUGUCCAAGGGAACACGUGGCAGCACUUCUGGCUUCCUGAACAUCGUGAUGGAGCUGAAGAAAUGUUGCAAUCACUGUUACCUGAUCAAACCUCCAGAAGAGAAUGAGAGGGAAAACAGCCAGGAGAGGCUGCAGUCUUUAAUCAGGAGCAGUGGGAAACUCAUCCUUCUGGACAAACUGCUCAGCAGGCUCCGUGCGAGGGGCAACCGAGUCCUCAUCUUCUCCCAGAUGGUGAGAAUGUUGGACAUCUUGGCGGAAUAUCUGACCAUCAAGCACUACCCUUUCCAGCGCCUGGACGGUUCUAUCAAAGGAGAAAUCCGGAAGCAGGCUCUGGAUCAUUUCAACGCCGAAGGCUCGGAGGACUUCUGCUUUCUACUCUCCACACGUGCUGGCGGCCUGGGGAUCAACUUGGCGUCGGCUGACACAGUGGUGAUCUUCGAUUCGGACUGGAACCCCCAGAAUGACCUACAGGCUCAGGCUCGGGCUCAUCGGAUUGGCCAAAAGAAACAAGUAAAUAUCUAUCGCUUGGUUACAAAGGGAACAGUGGAAGAGGAGAUUAUAGAAAGAGCAAAGAAGAAAAUGGUGCUGGACCAUCUUGUGAUACAGCGAAUGGACACCACAGGCCGGACAGUUUUGGACAACAGCUCUGAUAGAUCCAAGACAAACCCCUUCAACAAGGAGGAACUGACCGCCAUUUUGAAAUUUGGAGCCGAAGAACUUUUUAAAGAACCCGAAGGGGAAGAAUCUGAACCACAAGAAAUGGACAUUGAGGAAAUCUUACGCCUGGCUGAGACACGAGAGAAUGAACCAUCCACAAGUGCAACAGACGAACUGCUUUCACAAUUUAAAGUAGCAAACUUUGCUACAACAGAAGAGGAAGAAGCCGAGGCGGAAGAGAAAUCUCAGAAGGAGUGGGAAAGCAUCAUUCCUGAGGAACAAAGGAAGAAAGUGGAAGAAGAGGAGCGGCAGAAAGAACUUGAGGAGAUAUACAUGCUGCCCAGGAUUCGCAGCUCAGCCAAAAAGGCUCAGGCCAAUGACAGCGAAUCAGAUGUUGAAAUAAAGAGGAAGCUCCAGAGGUCUUCGGGCUCAGAUACCGAGACAGAGGACUCUGAUGAUGACAAAAGGCCCAAACGCAGAGGACGCCCUCGCAGUGUUCGGAAGGACACAGUGGAAGGCUUUACAGACCCUGAAAUCAGAAGAUUUAUCAAGGCAUACAAGAAGUUUGCUGUUCCUUUGGAACGACUGGAAUGCCUCGCUCGGGAUGCUGAACUGGUAGAGAAAUCGGUAGCUGAUCUGAAACGUUUGGGAGAACUUCUCCAUAACAGUUGUGCUUCAGCCAUGCAGGAGUACGAAGAGCAUCUGAAGGAGAACCCAACUGAAAGUAAAGGACCAGGGAAGAGAAAGGGGCCCACAAUUAAGAUCUCUGGAGUCCAGGUGAAUGUGAAAGCAAUUAUUCAACAUGAGGAGGAGUUUGCGAUGCUCCAUCAGACCAUUCCCAGUGACCCAGUGGAGAGGGCAAGGUUUCGUCUGAACUCCCGUGUCAAAUCUGCCCAUUUUGAUGUAGACUGGGGAGUGGAAGAGGAUUCUUCCUUGCUGCGGGGGAUUUAUGAGCAUGGAUGUGGGAACUGGGAGCUCAUCAAGUCAGACCCAGAACUGAACCUCACUGAAAAGAUUUUACCAGCUGAGACAGAUAAAAAGCCACAGGGGAAGCAGCUCCAGGCGCGAGUAGAUUAUCUGAUGAAGCUUAUCAAAAGAGACAUGAAGAGGAAAGAGAACCCGAACAAGACAGAGGAGGACAGGGCCAAAGUUGUAAAGCCCCGAAUCCGGAAAGAAAACAAACCCCCCAAAAUCAAGGAGGAGCCAGGAAACGAAUCCUCUUCUCCGCAGCCUCCAGACAACCAGUCAGUAGAAGGACAGAAGAAGGUAAGCAUGAGCACUGAGGACCCGGGACUUCCUGGUAGAGAAAAUGGGAUGCUUUCUCCUCUUCUCUUUUCACAGCCCAAAGGCGCCGAGGCCAAACCCGGAAACCAAGGGAAGAAACUGCUGGGUCAGGGUCCCGUCCACAUUACGGCAGGAAGUGACCCUGUCCCCAUUGAAGAAGAGGAAGAGGAUGAGUUAGACCAUGCAACCUUCACCAUUUGCAAAGAGCUGAUGAGGCCAGUUAAGAAGUCCCUGAAGCAGCUGGAUAAGCCAGAAAGAGGACUUACAGACCACGACCAGCUGGAGCAAACACGGAGUUGCCUACUCAAGAUCGGAGACCACAUUGCUGAAUGUUUGAAAAUCCACACUGAACAGGAAGUCUUUAACGUAUGGAGAAGGAAUCUAUGGGUAUUUGUCUCCAAGUUUACUGAAUUUAAUGCCAAGAAAUUACAUAAGAUAUAUAAGAUGGCUAACAAAAAGCGAUCCCGGGAACAGGAGGAACAAAAAAAGAAGGAAGAGGCAACGAGUGGCAAGCGGCUUCGUCCAGAAGCUCCUGGGACCAGUCGAGAUAUUCCGAUGUCUCCUGUCCCCCAUAGCCCUCAUGGUCAAAAACUGCAGCAGCCAUCUCCUCACCCUUCCCAGAUGCAUGGACAUCCACGAGAGAACUACCACCAGCCAAAUAGAAGGCAUUUCAGCCACCCAGAACGAAGCGAAUGGCAGAGGGAUCGCAAAUUUAACUACAGUGGCAAUUCCAAUACGAAUUGGGGCAGAAACCGUUAUCAUGCAUAUGAGCCGCGCUGGCACAAGGAUCACCAUUAUGCGGAUCGCCAGGCGCGCAGAGAACAGUAUCGGAGCUCAGGAAACUACCAGCCCAGCAACCUGUCUCGUAAACGCCCCUACGAUCAGUACAACAGUGAACGCAAUUACCGCGGACAACCGGACUACAGAUACUGUCAUGAAGCCAAGAGACGAAGAUUAGAUGGAUUCCGGCCCCAGAAUUACCAACAAGAUUAUCGGAGGAUGUCUGACUAUAGACCUCCCUUGAGUUAUCACGGGCAAGGGCCAUCCGACCAUUACAGGCCUUUCCACCAAGAUAAAUCAGCCGAUUAUAAGCAACUCCUUCCCCCUCCUCACUCCCAGGUCCCUGACCCUCGCUCUCCAGCUUCUCAGAAAUCUCCACUUGGUGCCAAGUCUCCCAUUCAGCAUCGCUCACCUCUGGAUAGGCCCUUAGAUCAGAAGAACAAUCCAGAUUAUAACUGGAGUGGUCGGAAAACCUAGAGGCCCAGAAUCAGAGGCCAACGGAAAGAGCUAGUCCGGCCCAAGGAAACACCAGUUAUAGGGCCAUCAAUGCUGGAACCAGAAAGCCUGAAUACAGUGCUGUAGAGCUUGGGGCUGUAAGAAUUGGAAGGGGGUCAGAAAAACUGGAUCCACCGGGGAGCCUGAACUUUAGCUCCAAAUUUGCCUUCCAUCAGGAUACUGGCUGGGUGUUGGGAGGGGUCUUCCCUGCACCAAGAGAUCUGUAGAGAACAAGGUCAGGUCUACCACCUACGUUUUGGAACGAAGAUUUUGGGUUUGUAUCCAUAAUGCCAACUUGAAUUCUGGACAUUUCACAGAAUGGACAGACAGGCUGCAAAGGGUACAGACGGAGGCAAAAGCUAUAUGGUUUUGGAGUUCAGGUUCAAUUUGCUGCCGGAAGGGGGUGAUAAGGAAGACCACGAUAGCUACAGCUGUUGAAUAAAACAUUGGCGUCAGGGAGGGCA
ensembl:lncRNA